GUUUGAAAUAUAUAGAAGAGUCAGUUCAAAAACAGAAGAAACAAAUGGCCUUCAACAUGUUUAAACAAUAAAGGAAUGCCAAGUCCAUCGGGCAAAAUUGAAGGGCCAAGAAGUUGUUAUCAAAGUACAAAGGCCUGGUUUAAAGGAUCUCUAUGAUAUUGAUCUUAAAAACCUGAGGCUUCUGUGGCGUUGGAUACAUUCACUUUACUCUUAAAUUUGCUCGGCAAACAUGAUUUAUGCUAUCACUACCGGUAAUAGCAGAAUAUCUUCAAAAGGUUGACCCAAAGUCAGAUGGUGCAAGGAGAGACUGGGUUGCGAUUUAUGAUGAAUGUGCAAGUGUGUUGUAUCAGGUGGCCCCAUUACUGCAUCAGAAGCAAUCAACUGCCUUGCUUCUGAUUCUGAAUUGCUUUAUUCAAUGUUAUAUUGCUUGCAAUUUGGAAUGUUGAUAUUUCUUAUCAAGCUUAUGCAGGAAGGUUCUUUAUUUUGGUUGCCAAAGAAGUUUCCUUUUGCCUAUUGAAAGCUGAUGCUCAAAAGAUUCCCCAUGUUGUAAGAGUGGACGAAAUUACAUUAAUGAAUUACCAAGAGAUUAGAACAACAUUGAUAGAGAACGUGGUAAAAUAGAUAGAGUAUAGAAGUCAGAAGUAAAAUCAGAUAUAGAUAGAAGAAAUUAGAAAGAAAAGGGGAAAUUAAGGGAGAAUUAGAAGAAUAAGAGAUUACCUCCUGGUCCGAGAGGGCUUCCUAUUUUUGGAAACCUUUUCAUGAUGGGGAACAAAUCUCACCAAGAUCUUCAACAGUCAGCCCACAAGCAUGGCCCCAUAAUUCCAUUAGGCUUUGGCCUGAUGCCUGUAUUUGUUUUCUCAUCCCCUGAAGCUCCCGAGCUAUUCCUCAAGACAUAUGACCUUGUUUUUGCUAGCAGGCCACCCCAUGAAGGUGCCAAGCAUGUCGGUUACAAUCAGCAGAAUUUGUCCUCCCUCAAACCAUGAGAAAAUGGCUAUGUAAUCUCUACAAGAGUAUAUUUUCUGGAUACAUUUGUUGCCUUCUCUAGUACUUUAACUUUUCUCGUUUGAACGCAAGCUUUAUGGAUUUAUCAUAUCUAAUUA